UACCAGCACCCCGAGUGGUCGGGACGUUUAUUGGGCCUAAAGCAUCCGUAGCCGGUUCUACAAGUCUUCCGUUAAAUCCAACGGCUUAACAGGUGGGCUGCGGAAGAUACUAUAGAGCUAGGAGGCGGGAGAGGCAAGCGGUACUCGAUGGGUAGGGGUAAAAUCCGUUGAUCCAUUGAAGACCACCAGUGGCGAAGGCGGCUUGCCAGAACGCGCUCGACGGUGAGGGAUGAAAGCUGGGGGAGCAAACCGG
rnacentral:rRNA from 1 species